CCUAAACAAAUAUAUACUAGUCCAGUGAUAAUGAACGCCAUACUUAUUUCCAAAUUGUACACAAGAAACUAAAAUUAAAAUAAUACAAGACUAACAAAGGCCAGAGGCUCCUGACUUGGGACAGGCGCAAAAAUGCGGCGGGGUUAAACAUGUUUGUGAGAUCUCAACCCUCCCCCUAUACCUCUAACCAAUGUAGUAAAGUAAACGCAUAACAAUACGCACAUUAAAAUUCAGUUUAAGAGAAAUCCGAGUCUGAUGUCAGAAGAUGUAACCAAAGAAAAAUAAACAAAAUGACAAUAAUACAUAAAUAACAACAGACUUCUAGCAGUUAACUGACAUGCCAGCUCCAGACUUCAAUUAAACUGACUGAAAGAUUAUGAUUUCAUCAUAUGAACAUCAGGCACAAUCCUUCCCGUUAGGGGUUUAGUAUCAUACCAUCAUAACAUAUAUGAGAAGAACAUAACCCGUGUCAUGCCAAC
rnacentral:lncRNA from 1 species